rnacentral:rRNA from 1 species
AGCAUCUGGUGAGUACAGUGGCGUACGGGUGAGUAACACGUGGAUAAUCUACCUUUUAGUGAGGAAUAACCAUGGGAAACCGUGGCUAAUACCGCAUGAGCUCGAGAGAGGAAAGUCGAAAGACGCUGAAAGAGGAGUCCGCGGCCGAUUAGCUAGUUGGCAGGGUAAAAGCCUACCAAGGCAAAGAUCGGUAGCCGGCCUGAGAGGGCACACGGCCACACUGGCACUGAAACACGGGCCAGACUCCUACGGGAGGCAGCAGUGGGGAAUCUUGCACAAUGGGGGAAACCCUGAUGCAGCGACGCCGCGUGAGCGAUGAAGCCCUUCGGGGUGUAAAGCUCUUUCGGCAGGGAAGAUAGUGACGGUACCUGCAGAAGCAGCUGCGGCUAACUACGUGCCAGCAGCCGCGGUAAUACGUAGGCAGCGAGCGUUGUUCGGAGUUACUGGGCGUAAAGGG